rnacentral:rRNA from 1 species
UCGAACGGUAGCACAGAGAGCUUGGUCAUCGCGUGUGUACGAGUGGCGGACGGGUGAGUAAUGUCUGGGAAACUGCCCGAUGGAGGGGGAUAACUACUGGAAACGGUAGCUAAUACCGCAUAACGUCGCAAGACCAAAGAGGGGGACCUUCGGGCCUCUUGCCAUCGGAUGUGCCCAGAUGGGAUUAGCUUGUAGGUGAGGUAACGGCUCACCUAGGCGACGAUCCCUAGCUGGUCUGAGAGGAUGACCAGCCACACUGGAACUGAGACACGGUCCAGACUCCUACGGGAGGCAGCAGUGGGGAAUAUUGCACAAUGGGCGCAAGCCUGAUGCAGCCAUGCCGCGUGUAUGAAGAAGGCCUUCGGGUUGUAAAGUACUUUCAGCGGGGAGGAAGGGAGUGAGGUUAAUAACCUCAUUCAUUGACGUUACCCGCAGAAGAAGCACCGGCUAACUCCGUGCCAGCAGCCGCGGUAAUACGGAGGGUGCAAGCGUUAAUCGGAAUUACUGGGCGUAAAGCGCACGCAGGCGGUCUGUCAAGUCGGAUGUGAAAUCCCCGGGCUCAACCUGGGAACUGCAUUCGAAACUGGCAGGCUGGAGUCUUGUAGAGGGGGGUAGAAUUCCAGGUGUAGCGGUGAAAUGCGUAGAGAUCUGGAGGAAUACCGGUGGCGAAGGCGGCCCCCUGGACAAAGACUGACGCUC